AUUAUUCUCCCUCCGUCCUAAAAUAUUUGUCCUAAAAAUGAAUAAAAUGGAUGUAUCUACUAAAGUAAGUCUAGAUACAACCAUUUCUAGGACAAGUAUUUUCGGACGGAGGGAGUACGAG
rfam:Triticum aestivum genome assembly, contig: Triticum_aestivum_CS42_TGACv1_scaffold_147607_2BS